ACGGCUCAGUAACACGUGGACAACCUACCCUUAGGACGGGGAUAAACCCGGGAAACUGGGUAUAAUACCCGAUAGGUCUCGACUGCUGGAAUGCAUCGAGAUCUAAAGCUCCGGCGCCUAAGGAUGGGUCUGCGGCCUAUCAGGUAGUAGUGGGUGUAGUGUACCUACUAGUCUACGACGGGUACGGGUUGUGAGAGCAAGAGCCCGGAGAUGGAUUCUGAGACACGAAUCCAGGCCCUACGGGGUGCAGCAGGCGCGAAAACUUUACAAUGCUGGAAACAGCGAUAAGGGGACCUCGAGUGCCAGGUUACAAAUCUGGCUGUCGUGAUGCCUAAAAAGCAUUGCAUAGCAAGGGCCGGGCAAGACCGGUGCCAGCCGCCGCGGUAACACCGGCGGCUCGAGUGGUAACCGUUAUUAUUGGGUCUAAAGGGUCUGUAGCCGGCCGGAUAAGUCUCUUGGGAAAUCUGGCAGCUUAACUGUCAGGCUUUCAGGAGAUACUGUCUGGCUCGAGGCCGGGAGAGGUGAGAGGUACUUCAGGGGUAGGGGUGAAAUCUUGUAAUCCUUGAAGGACCACCAGUGGCGAAGGCGUCUCACCAGAACGGACCUGACGGCAAGGGACGAAAGCUAGGGGCACGAACCGGAUUAGAUACCCGGGUAGUCCUAGCCGUAAACGAUACUCGCUAGGUGUCGGCCACGGUGCGACCGUUGUCGGUGCCGUAGGGAAGCCGUGAAGCGAGCCACCUGGGAAGUACGGCCGCAAGGCUGAAACUUAAAGGAAUUGGCGGGGGAGCAC
rnacentral:rRNA from 1 species